GCUUAAAAUCUAGCCCCACCCCUCCUAUGACCCCCCCCCCCCUUUUUUUUCACAACUAAAACAUUCUUAAGAUUGAGUAAAGGAGAUUGAAAAACUCAACGGAGCAACAAAAAUAGUACCGCAAGGGAAAGAUGAAAUAAAAAUGAAAAAAUUUCAAGCGCAAAAAAGUAGAGAUACCCCCUCGUACCUUUUGCAUCAUGGUCUAACUAGUCUAAUCAAGCAAAAAGCAUUUUAGUUUGACCCCCCGAAACUAAGCGAGCUACUUCAGGGCAGCUUUAUGAGCAAACCCGUCUCUGUCGCAAAAGAGUGGGGUGACCCCCAAGUAGUGGUGACAGGCCUAACGAGCUUAGCGAUAGCUGGUUACUCAAGAAAAGAAUUUCAGUUCAACCUAAAGCUUUCCCAAUUUAUAAAAAUACCCUUCGUGGCUUUAGGGCAAUUCAAAUAAGGUACAGCCUAUUUGACACAGGAUACAACCUCAACUGACGGGUAAAUUAAACUUUUGAUCACAAUCAAGUAGGCCUAAGAGCAGCCACCUUCAUUUAAAGCGUCAAAGCUUAUUUGUGACCCCCAACCAAUUCCUUAAGUCUCCCUUAGCCCUCUAGCAGUAUUGAGUAAUUCUAUUUACUUAAUAGAACCUAUAAUGUUAAAACUAGUAACAAGAAGUAAACCUUCUCCUUAAUGUAAGUGUAAAUCAAAAAGGAUAACCCACUGAUAAUUAACGUUUAUGAGCCCACAUUAGAAACUCUACAAGAAAACCCUAAUGCCGCCCACGUUAACCUGACACAAGAGCAUUCCAAGAAAGAUUUAAAGAAAAAGAAGGAACUCGGCAAAUCAUUACCCCGCCUGUUUACCAAAAACAUCGCCUCUUGGGUAGAUAUAAGAGGUCCCGCCUGCCCAGUGACUUCAGUUCAACGGCCACGGUAUCCUAACCGCGCGAAGGUAGCGUAAUCACUUGUUCUUUAAAUUAGGACUAGUAUGAACGGCACCACGAGGGUUAUACUGUCUCCUUUUUCUAAUCAGUGAAACUAAUCUCCCCGUGAAGAAGCGGGGAUGAAACUAUAAGACGAGAAGACCCUAUGGAGCUUUAAACUUUAUUUCAACUGCCGCACCUAUGAAAAGUUCCGACUACCCACAAUUUACUAAGCUUUAUGAUAAUAAAUUUUAGGUUGGGGCGACCAUGGAGAAUAAAAAAACCUCCACAUUGAAUUAGGCCUCUUAGCCUUGAGCCAAGAGCUACGACUCUGUGCACUAAAAUAUUAACAUCCAUUGACCCAAUUAUUUGAGCAACGAACCAAGUUACCCUAGGGAUAACAGCGCAAUCCACUUAAAGAGCCCCUAUCGACAAGUGGGUUUACGACCUCGAUGUUGGAUCAGGGUGUCCCAGUGGUGCAGCCGCUACUAAUGGUUCGUUUGUUCAACGAUUAAAACCCU
rnacentral:rRNA from 1 species